CAGUCGCCGCGGGAAUACGAAGGUCCCGAGCGUUGUUCGGAAUCACUGGGCGUAAAGGGAGCGUAGGCGGCGUGGUAAGUCAGAUGUGAAAUCCCGGGGCUCAUCCCCGGAACUGCAUCCGAUACUGCCAUGCCAGAGGAUUGGAGAGGUAGCUGGAAUUCUUGGUGUAGCAGUGAAAUGCGUGGAGAUCAAGAGGAACACUCGUGGCGAAAGCGAGCUACUGGACAAUAACUGACGCUGAGGCUCGAAGGCCAGGGUAGCGAAAGGGAUUAGAUACCCGCGUAGUCCCUGUCUCUUAUAC
rnacentral:rRNA from 1 species